UUUUGUAAACACAUAAAUUUGAUACAAAUCCGCACUGAACACAGACAAAUCGCGAAUCGAAAUGACGCUCGGGCGAAAACAAUAGCGUGGCUCGAAAUGGAGUCCAGAGGAAUUUUUAGAAAUAAAGUAACGGCCAUAUUUAUUAUUGUUGAAAUUGGAGUAAUGCCAGCUCCUGUGCGCAAGUUCCGCCGCGAGACCAGCGAAAUCAGCUGCUGCCUAAAGUACCUUCUCUUCGCCAGCAAUGUGGUUCUGUGGCUUUCGGCUUUGCUGGUCCUGUCGGUUGGCAUCUGGGCUUGGAGUGAGAAGGACAUGUUCCGCAACAUCACUCGGCUGCACUUCAUCGCCCUAGACCCCGCUUUUGUCCUGAUUAUCCUGGGCGGCGUAACCUUUCUGCUGGGCUUUAUGGGCAGCGUGGGGGCCUUGCGCGAGAACACUUGUCUCCUUGCAGCGUACGCCAUCUUCCUCAGUGUUCUGCUCAUCGCCGAGAUCGGUUUCUGUGCCGUGGCCUUCGUGCUUAAGGACAAGGGAUGGAUAAAGAACCAGGCCACCGAGGGCCUGAAAGCCUUCAUCCGUCACUAUCGAGAGGAUGCUGACCAACAGAAUCUUAUUGACUGGAUCCAGGAAGACUGGUUACAGUGUUGCGGCGUUGAUGGCCCGAAGGACUGGGACAGCAACAACUACUUUAACUGCUCAUCUAUUGCCAUUGGCAGUAGGGAGGCGUGCGGUGUGCCCUUCUCCUGCUGUCGUAGGCGUCCCCACGAGCAGAUCAAGAUCAAACAAUGCGGCUACGAUGUGCGCAAGGAUGGAUAUAUCCCAACAAAUUAAAAUCUGAACCGUAUUUGCGCGUCGCCUAGCGCGAUGUGGUGUGGUGCAGCGGUAGUGCUCUCGACUGCGAACCCAGCGGUCGUCAAUUCUAUUCUCGCAGCGACCACAAAGAUUUUUUUUAAAAAAAUCUAAUGAUUCUAAUUAGCAUUCCCUCUCAAACUAAAGUAAGAAAUGGAACACUAAGUCAAAUAUUCAUUAAAAAUUACAGGAAAAUUACCACAGAAAAUGUUUGCCGAGAACCAACAAACAACAUGUCCAAACAACACUUAUUUAUAACAAUUUUACUUAUUUUUAAGGGCGCUUUCCCUUGUUUUUAAGUCGCUUUUCUUUUAAAACAAAAAUAACAGCAAACAUUCAAGAAAAAUUUGCCUUCAUUUAGGCUAUUUACCAUUAAAAUAAGAAAGUCACCAUAAAAAAUUCAAGAAAUAUCGCCGUUAAAUUUAAAAUUGUUUUCAUAUGUUAAAGGCAUUUACCAUCGAAAAUAGAUAAUUUGCCCUAGAAUUAGGAAAAUUCACCCUAGCUUUAGGAAAAAUCGACCUAAAUGUAAGACUAAUACAUGCCUAAUUUUAGAAAAUGUUGCCCUAAUUUUGUUACUUAAUCGCCAUUGACCCCCGUUUAGGGCGAUUUUACAGUAAAAUUUUUAUAAUUUUGGAACACAAGCUAGGAGCAGUUCUAAGCAUUAUUUCCCAGGAGAUUAGGUGUCUAAAACCACGUUUGGCCCACUGCACUGGUUUUCCUUUUUUUUUGGAGAAAAACAUCAUAGUAGCCGUAACAUAUAUUUAUAAAAUUUAAUUUAUCAGAUCAAUUUGAUCCCCUUUGUUAAAAUUGUGUUCUCUCUUUAAGUUAUUUCUUUACAACCCAUGCUAUAAAUUAAAGAAGUUGGCAUUAGGCAUACAGAUUCUAGGGGCACACUCUAACGAUCAAAACGCUAAAACCUGACUAGCGCCCACAUUUUUUAAUAUUUUGUAAAAGUGUAAAUGGUGUUGUGUUCUGAUUUCAAAGGUACAAAGACAAAAAUAUUUAUUUUUAGUGUUCCAUGAUAAUUGGAACCUACAUCUACAUCCCAAAAAUUGUUCAAUUGUUAAAAAGCUAAUAAAGCGUUCAAUUUGGGAAACAGCCGAUAUGCUGCAUGUAUGCCUUUAUCCCCCUCGCAAUACCUUUAGCCGAGGCCGUCGACUAUAGCGUUUUUUCCUAAGCAUUUACGGGAGAAAAAAUGAAAAUAUUCCAGCCCACCAUACCCCUAAUUUAGAAGUAACGUUGAAACUAAUUAAAAUCUGAGAACUCUUGUUGGCUAGUUUAAUCCAUAAAAAAAGCCCUCAUUCAAAGAAUAAGAACCGUUCAAAGCAAUUUGCUGGUACACUUAACAGUUACCACUGAAUAGAGUAUUAAAUUUUUUUGUUCUUUAAAGAGUUUGAAGGUCUAAUGAACUGUUUUGUGAUUUAUAUGCCAAUCUUAGUUUGAUUUAAAAUUGUUUACACAACAACUCAAAAUUUAUAGUUUAUAUAUAGUUUUCCACGAUAAUUUGAUCCUCCUGAGUAAAAGUCCCAUACAAACUUGUGUUUCAUCACCUACAGGUUCCGCGGUAUAGCUAAGAUUACAAAAAACCGAUGUUUGCCCACAUAUUAAAUUAUGUGGCCAAUGUCAUUGUACUUAUCUUAAAUAUUUUUGCUGAAACACAUUGGAUUUUACGCCUAAGUUACAACUCCCAACAUUUUCACAAUUUCCAUGAUUGAAAUCCGCCGUCGAUCUAGCCAUGUCCGUCUGUCCGUAUGAACGCUGUGAUCUCGGAAACUAUAAAAGCUGCAAUACUGGGUUCUAAAGAUUCCUGCGGCUCCCACAGUUUUAAUGGUAGAAUAAAAUGUUAACUAAAAUGUAUUGUUCUCAUCAAUACCUAUCGAUUGACCCAAGUAUGACACG